rnacentral:piRNA from 1 species
UCACAAAUAAUAAGCAAGUGCUCACCCCUC